rnacentral:rRNA from 1 species
AUUGAACGCUGGCGGCAAGCCUAACACAUGCAAGUCGAACGAGUGGCGGACGGGUGAGUAAUGUCUGGGAAACUGCCUGAUGGAGGGGGAUAACUACUGGAAACGGUAGCUAAUACCGCAUACCAUCGGAUGUGCCCAGAUGGGAUUAGCUAGUAGGGGGGGUAAAGGCUCACCUAGGCGACGAUCCCUAGCUGGUCUGAGAGGAUGACCAGCAAAACUGGAACUGAGACACGGCCCAGCCUCCUAGGGGGGGCAGCAGUGGGGAAUAUUGCAAAAUGGGCGAAGGCCUGAGGCAGCCAGGCCGGGUGGAGGAAGAAGGCCUUCGGGUUGUAAAGUACUUUCGGCGGGGAGGCGUUACCCGCAGAAGAAGCCCCGGCUAACUCCGUGCAAGCAGCGCGGUAAUAC